rnacentral:sRNA from 1 species
GAUCCUAUCUAAGAUAUAGGUAUUUUAUAAAUAUGAGUAGUUUUAUUUUAUUGAUAUUGAUUUAGAUUUUGAUUCCUUCUUUCAAGAAUGUUUUACAGUUUUCACAGUACAUGUUUCAUACUUAUUACAUUUCUGCCUAAGUAUUUUAUGUAUGUAUGUAUGUAUGUAUGUAUGUAUGUAUGUAUGUAUUUACUUAUUUUUGAUACAAGGUCUUGUUAUACUGUCUAGGUAACCUGGAAUUCACAAUCCUCCUGCCUUGGUCUUUUGCACAUAGGGAUGGAAGGCACAAGAUAUUCCGGCUUAUAUUUUACUUUUUUUUAAUUAAAAAUUUAUUUAUUAUGUGUGUGUACACAGACACACAUCACAGUGUACUUACGGAUGUCAGAGGACAACUUUUAGAAUUUGAUUCUCUUUGACUAUGUGGGCCCUGAAGAUUUAACCCGGGUCAUCAGAUAAAGCAGAGGAAGUGCCUUUAUCUGCUGAGCCAUUUCAGCAGCCCUUCACUCUUUUGGAAGUGGUGUCUCCUUAUUCUACUUUGGUUUUGGUCAUUUCUGGUAUGUAAAAAUACAAAAUAUUUUAUGUUGAUCAACUUUUUAUAUCGUAUAAUUAAACAGUUUUAAAAAUGAAUCCUUAUAUUCUAAAGGUAAGAUUCUGCUCCCUGUGAAUAAUGCUCCUUCCUCAGUUCUGAAUUGUAGGACAGCAGUUUCCUUUCUCCUCACUACUCUGCUGUCACGGCUCAGCUCUUACAACAGACAUUUAUACCAAGCUCAGUGGCACAGGUCACCUGAGUGACUGAGACAGGAUGGUCAUAGAUCUUAGGUAUUUAUGAAUCGCACAACAAGCCUUGUUGAAAGGCGGAGAGAGAGGAGAGGAGAGGGGGAGAGAAAGAAGAGAGAUUGGUUGAGGUUUGUUUUCCACCGUUCUAGAAGCCGAGACUGCAAUCAGGACUCAGCAUGGCGAGGCAGUGCUAAGGGUUCGUUCUGGCUCAGAGAAGGCCGCCUUCUUCCUCUGCCUUUGUGAGGUAUCCAAUGUGUCCUUGUGUUGAAAUGGCCACUAAUCCCAUCAAGGAGCUCAGCGUUCAUGAUCUCAUCAGACCCUCAUCACUUCCCAGUGCACUGGGCAGGACUGUCCACAUUGCACUCUCAUGGUUCUGGACGCACUCCAGCUUGACACCUGAAGUCCUCAAGGGAGCUGCUGAGAGGCCUAACGUCAACUCAUCUCAGCCGACUCAUGCACCGGAACUCUGAAGCCAAGCUUUGGUGUCAUAAAUAAUCGGUUAGAGGUGUAAUGGUUCACAGAAGAACUACAGGACCUCUUGCCGUGGGCUCCUCUAUUUAGAAAGACCCAUGGAAAUGGUCCCAGUUGCAGCCGGACCGGGAAAGAAAGAGUGCUCUAAUGCUCACCCCUCUCUUCCCUGGGCUUCCCCGCCACCCUGCUGAUCUGCUGUACUGGGAACCAAGUGAAGGACUGCACAGGUAGCUACAUUUGAUUUGUUUAGAAACUUACUCCCAGGAAUUCUGUAAGAAACGAGGUAGGUAUGAAUCACACACUGGCCACUUCCUGAUUCGGGUAACUGGGAGCAACACCGUGGUAAGUGGCUUCUGUGCUGUAUAUGCAUUUGGUUCCCAGGACACAGUAUGGAGGAUAUAAUUUCAUGACUAUUUAGGAACUGUGUCAGCGUAAAGAUUCACCAAAACAACCGGUGACAGCGAGGGACUCAGCACAGCAGCCAGGACUGUAUUUAAAGAACUUUGGCACUUUCUUUUCCUGAAGACAAUGGAGACAUUGAAGGAGAUGGAGCAACAUUGGGAAUAAGCAGGAGAAAAACAGUCAUAAUAGUAUAUGGUUUGGGCUCUGGUGGCUGCUAUCAGACCCAUGGGCAAUUACUGAAUAGCCUAGCCUGGAACAUUUUGAAUUUUGUGUGGUACUGAAUUUCAUUCAAAAAGUCACGUGUGUGUUUAUUCAUGUAUGUGCAUUCACAUGGGAACACUUGCCACAUAUAACACACUUAGAGGAGUCUAGCCAGAAAUAGGAUGGGUGUGGUGUGAAAAAUAUAUAGUGUAAUUUUCUUCUCUCUUUGUGGGUCUAGGAAGAACCAUUUAAAUAAAUACCUUAUAAGUUAUAUUUUGAAAAUAUACUAUAUAGCUUUGAAGUGUUUAAGCUUGUGUACACAUCCGACCUCUAUUAGAGCACACAUCAGCAGUCAGUUUAUAUUUCGUGUAUUUUACCUAGAGAUUUUUACUUUGCCAAAGGGCUGCAGUCCAUCAGCUGAUCUGAAUUUAUCAUGAUAACAUAUGCAGCUAUGGCAGGAGUCCUCCAGUGAGUGAUAAAUGCCGAUAAGUCAUCUAUCCCAUUGGGGUUCUUGGCUAAAUCACAUUUGGAGGACACCUAAUUGUCUAAAAUGUAUCCAAAUCUAAUAAAAAUUUCUUUGCCACUAAUUGCCAUUGCAGCUUUCGGAAAGUUAACAUGCUUAUGUGACUUUGUGACAGCACCAUUUCCCAUGAGCAGUGUGAGUGACAGAAGUAUUUCUACCUAAUGUAGACCUUUCAGCUAUUUGGUAUUUAACAUCAGGCCAUCACGACUAGAAUGGUGUAAUCUUUCAUCUUUAACACUGUGAUAUUUUUCAUUGUUAAUAAAAUAUUUUUGUCGUGGUUAAUUAAAAAAAAAAAAGAAGUCCCAAGUGUGGGCACCUCCCGCACAGUGGAGCAGACUCUAAAUGAGCACUAAGUGGUAGGUUCUUGGGGUUGAGUUGGGCUUGGGGAUGGAUCAAUGUUGGAGGCAGGGAAGAGGAAAUUUUAAAGAAAGCUUGGAAUAUUUACAAAAUUCUCUGCAAUCGCAAUCUCAGUGGUGAAUUUCUUUGCUGUUGAAUACAGGUGAGCGGGCAAGACAGGCUGCAAGGCUGAGUGAGUGCAGGCAGUGAGCUGCUCCACAGGCUGAGUGAGUGCAGCGGGUCAGGGGGAAGCACACGGGCCUGCUCUGUUGUUAUUUCUGUCUUUUCUCACUAGUGAGUACUUCCUACUUUUGGAACACAGUUCAACUUCGUCAUUUUAAACCUUUUGAAUUAUUAUUCAAAUCUAUGAGGUUUGGCAAGGAUUUCGUGUAUGUGGGAAAGACGGUCCACCGGUAAGAGCUUUUUCUGGAAAGCAAAGUAAGCUAUGGCAAUAUAUGGCAAAAGUCAUGAUUUUGAUUCAUGGUUAGCAGAUCGGGUGAGUUGUUAAGUGGAGAAGAACGUUAAUGGCACGCGGACAGCAGUACCUUUCCUCAUCUGGAUGGAUCUGGUACAUUUGUACAGUUGGAGACAGAACGGCCUAGCAUGAUAAAAGAGGAGAGAGGUUAUCCUUUUGAGCUGCCAAAAAGUUGUUUCUGGGCAGAUCCUCUGAGGAUUGUUCAGAAUCCCUCUAUUCUCGGUUAUUUUUGUCUGAAAUCAGGAAUUCAGAUCGUUACAAAUUAUAAAAUGACGAGGAGCAUUAAGCAGAGAACUUAAGUUGCCCUUAAGCUCAGUACAUGCUAUAUAGGGUUUACAAUAUGAAUUCCGAAUUUCAAAUAAAAAUAUAAAGUUAGGUUGGGAAUGGAGACACAUCGAGGCAGCAGGGGGAGAGGCUGGGGGCCAUAGCGAGAGGCUACUUCAAAAACACACACAAGCUAGGUGUGGUGGUGCACGCCU